AAGAAAGUGGCAGAGCGGUUAUGCAGCUGGCUUGAAACUAGUGUACGGGGGUUCAAUUCCCUCCUUUCUCG
rnacentral:tRNA from 1 species